GACGAACGCUGGCGGCGUGCCUAAUACAUGCAAGUUGAGCGCUGGGGCGUGGUACUUGUUCCAAUUAUAUGAGCAGCGGACGGGUGAGUAACGCGUGGGUAAUCUGCCUUUGAGCAGGGGACAACUUUGGGAAACGAAUGCUAAUACCGCAUAAAAACUUUAAACACAAGUUUUAAGUUUGAAAGAUGCUCUUGCAUCACUUAAAGAUGGUCCCGCGGUGUAUUAGCUAGUUGGUUAGGUAAAGGCUCACCAAAGCGAUGAUACAUAGCCGACCUGAGAGGGGGAUCGGGCAACAUGGGACUGAGACCCGGCCCAAACUUCUUCGGGAGGCAGCCGUAGGGAAACUUUCGCAAUGGACGGAAAUCUGAACGAGCAACGCCGCGGGAGGGAAGAAGGUUUUCGGAUCGUAAAAAUCUGUUGGUAGAGAAGAACGAUGGUGAGAGUGGAAAGCGCACAAAGUGACGGUAACUAAUCAGAAAGGGACGGCUAACUACGUG
rnacentral:rRNA from 1 species